rnacentral:rRNA from 1 species
AGAUUGAACGCUAGCGGGAUGCUUUACACAUGCAAGUCGAACGGCAGCGCGGACUUCGGUCUGGCGGCGAGUGGCGAACGGGUGAGUAAUAUAUCGGAACGUGCCCAGUAGCGGGGGAUAACUACGCGAAAGCGUGGCUAAUACCGCAUACGCCCUACGGGGGAAAGGGGGGGAUCGCAAGACCUCUCACUAUUGGAGCGGCCGAUAUCAGAUUAGCUAGUUGGUGAGGUAAAGGCUCACCAAGGCGACGAUCUGUAGCUGGUUUGAGAGGACGACCAGCCACACUGGGACUGAGACACGGCCCAGACUCCUACGGGAGGCAGCAGUGGGGAAUUUGGACAAUGGGGGAAACCCUGAUCCAGCCAUCCCGCGUGUGCGAUGAAGGCCUUCGGGUUGUAAAGCACCUUUGGCAGGAAGAAACGGCGUACCCGUUAAUACAGGACGUCACGUGACGGUACCUGCAGAAUAAGCACCGGCUAACUACGUGCCAGCAGCCGACGUAA